AGCGGUAACAGGAAAUAGCUUGCUAUUUUGCUGACGAGCGGCGGACGGGUGAGUAAUGCUUGGGAAUAUGCCUUUAGGUGGGGGACAACAGUUGGAAACGACUGCUAAUACCGCAUAAUGUCUACGGACCAAAGAGGGGGACCUUCGGGCCUCUUGCCUUUAGAUUAGCCCAAGUGAGAUUAGCUAGAUGGUGAGGUAAUGGCUCACCAUGGCGACGAUCUCUAGCUGGUUUGAGAGGAUGAUCAGCCACACUGGGACUGAGACACGGCCCAGACUCCUACGGGAGGCAGCAGUGGGGAAUAUUGCACAAUGGGCGAAAGCCUGAUGCAGCCAUGCCGCGUGUGUGAAGAAGGCCUUCGGGUUGUAAAGCACUUUCAGUCGUGAGGAAAGGUGUGUAGUUAAUAGCUGCAUACUGUGACGUUAGCGACAGAAGAAGGACCGGCUAACUCCGUGCCAGCAGCCGCGGUAAUACGGAGGGUCCGAGCGUUAAUCGGAAUUACUGGGCGUAAAGCGUGCGUAGGCGGUUCAUUAAGUCAGAUGUGAAAUCCCGGGGCUCAACCUCGGAACUGCAUUUGAAACUGGUGAACUAGAGUAUUGUAGAGGGUGGUGGA
rnacentral:rRNA from 1 species